rnacentral:rRNA from 1 species
AUACGGAGGGUGCAAGCGUUACUCGGAAUCACUGGGCGUAAAGCGCGCGCAGGCGGCUAUUUAAGUUGGAUGUGAAAGCCUACGGCUCAACCGUAGAACUGCGUCCAAAACUAUUUAGCUAGAGUGUGGGAGAGGAAGAUGGAAUUAGUUGUGUAGGGGUAAAAUCCGUAGAGAUAACUAGGAAUACCAAAAGCGAAGGCAAUCUUCUGGAACACUACUGACGCUCAGGCGCGAAAGCGUGGGGAGCAAACGGGAUUAGAAACCCUAGUAGUCC